GGCAGCCAGGCCGAGCGGGAGUUCUCCUGGAACUUGAAGGGCCCGUUGAAGGCCUGCGAGAUGGCGCUCAGGUUGAAGAUACACACAGCCGAGGCGGCGAUGCUGUUCCUGGAGAGCGGGAAGAGAAGAAGAGAAGGCCGCCAUUGCUGUGUACCUCGGAGGAGAGGUGGACAGGUCAGCCAUCUGCUCUGAAAACUCAGUGAUUAUCUGCACUCAGCAGAGAAACAGCAGAGCUGGCCACACAUUCCCGGCAUAGAAGCUGUGUGCUGGAAGCUUCUGAGGGUUACGGAUGGACUACACAAUCAAACCAUUGGUGAUAGUUUGAAAUACUUAACAAGACUCUUAGAAUGGGCUAUCCAGCAUCUCAGAAGAGCUCAGACUGGAUAGUUACAUAACUUUUGAGAUACGGUUUUCGUUGUUCUUUUUGUCCCAAGCAGGAGACCGAGCAGCCACACAAGCCAAGCUCCCAUGGUGUAUAAAACUGACCUCAGCUGAACAGCUGCACAUUUAUCUUGGGCAGGCUGCACUAUUUCUUAAAGAAGGUUUUGGAAAGUGAGUCAGCUUCAGAAACCAAAAAUUGAAACUUGUCAAGGAAGGAAUAUAACCCCUGGGGUGAAGAAAGGCAGAUUUAUAAGAAGAAGGAGAGCUACAGAGGAAGGCGGUGGGCAUGGUGACAUGCUGCCUGUGUUUCUAAUGUCCCCUCAGCAAGCAGACCCCAGAGUGUCCCUAUCCAGUGAACAUUAACUCUAGGCACUGGAAAGAGCAAGCUGACAGCUAACAAGGAAGUAAGUGGCAGGAAAAGUAAGUGACUGUGGAAAUGAGAUUCAUGGGCAGGCUUGAUGCCAAAGAGAUUAAAACACACACACACACACACACACACACACACACACACACACACGUAAGGAGGAGCAGAGCAGCAUCAUAGGGCAAGCGCCUGUCCAGACCACCCGGGAUCAAGCAUCAUCCCGGAUUCCCAGCAGUCCUCAGUGCUGAAGCCAGGGCAAUCCCUAGGGGCACUGUCACCCAGCACAAGUAUCAGCACUUUGCACAUAGACAGUUUCAGAUCCUCUGCCUUAAACACAAAUGUUUGGCUUGUGUCAUAAUUGCUAGGUCUCCAGAUUAGAGAUUCCAAGGUAAAGACCCGAAAUGGUGGUGACCUCUGCCAAUCUGAAAGGGACUAUAUAUAGCUCAGGGUCUGCACUGCUAUUUCCUGGGGAGGGGACAGUGCUCUUGAGUCCAUGCCCAGCACACCGGCUAAGGAGAGCACAUGACUGCGGGAUUAUGUGUGACUAGCUAAUAGAGAGAGUGAAUGACAGCCCUGGAAGCUUCUCAGGCUUCAGCCAGCCCAGAUACUACCCCUCUGAUCUUAAGAGUAUCUUUAAAUGAGAAAAAAAAAAAAUGAUUUCUGAUCAACUGUUCAAAGGAUAGCCACGAGGAAAUGACAAUGUGCAUCUCACGGGUAUAAAAGCAAGCAAGAAUUAUGUUAUCUUGACUAUCAGACUUUCCAGAAGACACUGCUUUCAUUAUGCACAAAUGCAUGACUUGGACACAGGUAAACAUACAUCUACAUGCACCAGCAGUUCAGAAAGUGUGUGGAACACCCUCAAAAAUCAGAAAGUAGUGAUUUAUAGCAGAAUAAUUUGUUAUUAUAGUUACCUGAAAGCAAAUUAAACGUUUUUAGAUUAAUUUGAUUGUCCUAAUGUCAGUAUCAGAAAGCACAUAUGUUGCCUAUUACUUCAUUCAUAGUGAAAUAUUCUCUUUUUUUGCUAUUUCUUGACUGUAAGCUCAGUGACAUAAGAAAGAUUUCCUUUAAGGCAACUUAAAACCUUCAGAGGUCAAAGAACAACAAGGCCUAUGGGAAGUGAGGGAAAGAGAAGAGAAAGACGUUAUUUCAGGCCACAUACACGUUGGUGGUGAAGAUGCCGUAGAUCAGGUCCAGCUCGGGCAGGAAGAACGUGCUCUGCAGCUCGUGGUAGUAGAAGGGGACCUCCCCGGGCCGGGAGCAGUUCAGACGCGCCUUCAUGAAGGUGGUCCAGGUGUCCUCCAGGAGGAAGCGUCCCCCAAUGUCGUUCUUGCAGACCCGAGCAGCCCUGGAGAACACUGUCUUCCCGCAGUCAUGCUCCACAGCAUUUUCUCGGAAGAAGAAGUAGGUGAAGUUCCCGAUGUCAUAGGAGGACACGAAAUUGGGUUCUGCAAACAGGGGACGAGAAAAAUCUCAGCAACCACAUACUCUUAUUUUUCCAUAUCACUUUCUUGGCCUUUCUUCCAGAAGACAGGGUUUGGUUUAAACAAUACCUGGUUCCUACAGAAUAAAUGAAGACCCAGAGUGCUGGUGACUAUCCACAUUGGGAGCCUCGGGUCACAGACACAUUCUGAGAAAUGAAAAAUCUACAGUGAGAUUUCACACUCAGCCACACUGGCACUAAAGCUAACAUGACACACCACCAAAUGUGAGCAGAACAAAGUAGGGUAAUAGCCCUUACUUCAUUUGCAAACUCUUAUACCAUAUGCAGAAAUAGGACAAAAUAAGAUUAAAAAUGAAAUAUGAUUUAAAAAUAGAGUCUACAGUCACAUUUUUGCAUAACACUAUGAAACUCUCUGACUUGCAUAUAUGUACAUAAUGCAUACAACUAUGAUAUAACUCAUAUGCUUUUAAGAAUUUUAAAAAUGUUUAAAACUGAAUCAAAAACUCAAAUUGAAAAGGUAAUAUCUCCAAAUUAGCUUUCACAAUUUCUGUUACUAUGGUGAUGGUGUAACUGUGAAAAUCAAGCUUUAUUCUCUUAUUUCUGGGUCACAAGGGGAGCCCAUUGAGAUGAGGGAAGAAUGUUGAGAUGGAUCCAUUAUCUGGAUACAUUUUGGUUUCAAAAUUACUUUAAAUAUAGGAUUCAUAAAUGUGGAAUUUAUGGGAAAGCCUUGGUUUAACAACCAAGCUCAUUAGGAAAUAGAAAACAGCGACAGAAUUUUACAUAUAGGACUUGUUACCUUUUCAACUUGCUUUUUGGGUUCUUUGGUAAUAGAACAUAUACCCUACCAGACUCUUGAGAUAGCCUUAUUUAUUUUUAAAAAUCCCCAAUAAACACGUUUCUCACAAA